GAGUCCCAAGGCCUGGGUCUGAAUGCUCACCUGCUACUUCCUGACUUAGGGGAAACUGCUCGAGUCGCCUGUGCCUGCAGAUCUCACGGAGCGGUGCUGCACAGACCUGGCGUGGGCCCUGUGCAUGCUCAGGACCAAGCCGUGGCCCGGGUGCAGGGUGCAGUACACGGGGGAGAGAAGGCUGCUGUUCCUCCUCCGCUAAAGCUCCAGAAAAUGUGGCUGUCGCCUGGGAAAUGUCGGAGGCUCUGUCACCUGGAAAUAAACUUCCCGCGCGGCGCUCUCUCGGCGGGCGGCAAGAACCCAGUGCCUGUUCAUGUCACACACACAGGCAGGAAAGCCCCCCACCAAGUGUGACCACCUGAAAAUCAAGUUUUGCCUUCUCCUGGUCAGCUUGUAAAAGUCUGUCUGCGUGCGUCUGGAGAAAAUAACUCUCCCUCCUGAGCCACAUCCUCCCAAGUGCCUCACCGCUGCGCGAGGGGACCCCACCCGAGCCAGGCAGGUGUGGAAAAACCCCUGUGCUCACCCUCCCUGCC
rnacentral:lncRNA from 1 species